UACGUAGGGGGCAAGCGUUAUCCGGAUUUAUUGGGCGUAAAGAGAACGCAGGCGGUCUUUUAAGUCUGAUGUGAAAGCCUCCGGCUUAACCGGAGUAGUGCAUUGGAAACUGGGAGACUUGAGUGCAGAAGAGGAGAGUGGAACUCCAUGUGUAGCGGUGAAAUGCGUAGAUAUAUGGAAGAACACCAGUGGCGAAAGCGGCUCUCUGGUCUGUAACUGACGCUGAGGUUCGAAAGCGUGGGUAGCAAACAGG
rnacentral:rRNA from 1 species